CCUACGGGAGGCAGCAGUGGGGAAUAUUGCGCAAUGGGCGAAAGCCUGACGCAGCGACGCCGCGUGCGGGAUGAAGGUCUUCGGAUCGUAAACCUCUGUCCGCAGGGAAGAACGGUCACUGUGCUAAUCAGCAGUGCAUUGACGGUACCUGCAAAGGAAGCACCGGCUAACUCCGUGCCAGCAGCCGCGGUAAUACGGAGGGUGCGAGCGUUAAGCGGAAUUACUGGGCGUAAAGCGCUCGUAGGCGGUAUGUCAAGUCAAGGGUGAAAUCCCCGCGCUCAACGUGGGAACUGCCUUUGAAACUGGCAAACUGGAGUGUGUGAGAGGAUAGUGGAAUUCCAGGUGUAGGGGUGAAAUCCGUAGAUAUCUGGAGGAACAUCAGUGGCGAAGGCGACUAUCUGGCACAUAACUGACGCUGAGGAGCGAAAGCGUGGGUAGCAAACAGGAUUAGAUACCCUUGUAGUC
rnacentral:rRNA from 1 species